CACCUCUAGCAUUAUCAGUAUUAGAGGCAAUGCCUGCCCAGUGACAUUAGUUAAACGGCCGCGGUAUCCUGACCGUGCAAAGGUAGCAUAAUCAUUUGUUCCUUAAUUAGGGACUUGUAUGAAUGGCCCCACGAGGGUUUGACUGUCUCUUACUUUUAAUCAGUGAAAUUGACCUUCCCGUGAAGAGGCGGGAAUACAUAAAUAAGACGAGAAGACCCUAUGGAGCUUAAAUUAAUUUGUUCAAUCAAAAUUCAAUUUUUAUCCAACAGGAACAAUAACAUUUUAACUGAACAACAAAUUUUGGUUGGGGUGACCUCGGAGUACAAAAGAACCUCCGAGCGAUUUAACUAAGACAUACUAGUCAAGGCCAUAUAACUCAUUGAUCCAAUCAUAUUGAUCAACGGAACAAGUUACCCUAGGGAUAACAGCGCAAUCCUAUUUGAGAGUUCAUAUCGACAAUAGGGUUUACGACCUCGAUGUUGGAUCAGGACACCCAAAUGGUGCAGCAGCUAUUAAAGGUUCGUUUGUUCAACG
rnacentral:rRNA from 1 species